rnacentral:rRNA from 1 species
AGAAUCAACGCUGGCGGCGUGCCUAACACAUGCAAGUCGAACGAGAAAGUGGAGCAAUCCAUUAGUAAAGUGGCGCACGGGUGAGUAACACGUGACUAACCUACCCUUGAGUGGGGGAUAACCUAGAGAAAUCUGGGCUAAUACCGCAUAAUACCUUCGGGUCAAAGGAGCAAUUCGCUUAAGGAGGGGGUCGCGGCCGAUUAGUUAGUUGGCGGGGUAAUGGCCCACCAAGACUAUGAUCGGUAUCCGGCCUGAGAGGGCGCACGGACACACUGGAACUGAAACACGGUCCAGACUCCUACGGGAGGCAGCAGUGGGGAAUUUGCGCAAUGGGGGAAACCCUGACGCAGCAACGCCGCGUGGAGGAUGAAGCCCCGUUGGGGCGUAAACUCCUUUCGAUCGGGACGAUAAUGACGGUACCGAGAGAAGAAGCCCCGGCUAACUUCGCGCCAGCAGCCGC